AGUCGACGAGAAAGCCCUUCGGGGUUAGUAAAGUGGCGAACGGGUGAGUAACACGUGGGCAAUCUGCCCUUCGUUGGGGGACAACCGGGGGAAACCCCGGCUAAUACCCCGUAAGCUUGUCGGGUCACAUGGCCUGACAAGGAGAGGUAGCUUCGGCCAUCCGGCGAAGGAGGAGCCCGCGGUACAUUAGCUAGUUGGUGAGGUAACGGCUCACCAAGGCAACGAUGUAUAGCUGGUCUGAGAGGAUGAUCAGCCACACUGGGACUGAGACACGGCCCAGACUCCUACGGGAGGCAGCAGUCGGGAAUCUUACACAAUGGGCGAAAGCCUGAUGCAGCAACACCGUGUGAGCGAUGAAGGCCCUAGGGUCGUAAAGCUCUGUUUGCGAGGACGAAGGGCGAAGGGUUAAUAGCCCUUAGCCUGACGGUACUUGUACAGAAAGCCCCGGCUAACUACGUGCCAGCAGCCGCGGUAAUACGUAGGGGGCGAGCGUUGUCCGGAAUUAUUGGGCGUAAAGGGCGCGUAGGCGGCCCGGUAAGUCUGCUGUGAAACCUUGGGGCUCAACCCCAAGCGUGCAGUGGAUACUGCCAGGCUAGAGGAUGGUAGAGGCCAGUGGAAUUCCCGGUGUAGCGGUGAAAUGCGCAGAUAUCGGGAGGAACACCAGUAGCGAAGGCGGCUGGCUGGGCCAUUCCUGACGCUGAGGCGCGAAAGCUAGGGGAGCGAACAGGAUUAGAUACCCUGGUAGUCCUAGCCGUAAACGAUGAACACUAGGUGUGGGGGGAGUCGAAUCCCUCUGUGCCGAAGCCAACGCGUUAAGUGUUCCGCCUGGGGAGUACGGCCGCAAGGCUAAAACUCAAAAGAAUUGACGGGGGCCCGCACAAGCAGCGGAGCAUGUUCUUUAAUUCGAUGCAACGCGAAGAACCUUACCUGGGCUUGACAUGCAGCUGCAGCGCACGGAAACGUGUGACUUUCGAAGUGCUGCACAGGUGCUGCAUGCUGUCGUCAGCUCGUGUCGUGAGGGGUGGUAAGUCCCGCACCAAGCGCACCCCUGUCGUGGGUUGC
rnacentral:rRNA from 1 species